AACAGAGGACCAAGAAGGCUGAGUCUGAUGAAGCAAGACUUUGCUGACCCACGCCUAGGAAAAAAGGGUUGGAGAGACAAGCCCUAUGGGGGGGGGGGCGGGAAUCACAGGGCUGACUGUAUCACCCAACAUUU